rnacentral:rRNA from 1 species
AGGGAAUCUUCCGCAAUGGACGAAAGUCUGACGGAGCAACGCCGCGUGAGUGAUGAAGGUUCUCGGAUCGUAAAGCUCUGUUGCCAGGGAAGAACGUCCGUUAGAGUAACUGCUAACGGAGUGACGGUACCUGAGAAGAAAGCCCCGGCUAACUACGUGCCAGCAGCCGCGGUAAUACGUAGGGGGCAAGCGUUGUCCGGAAUUAUUGGGCGUAAAGCGCGCGCAGGCGGCUGUUUAAGUCUGGUGUUUAAUCCUGGGGCUCAACCCCGGGUCGCAUCGGAAACUGGGUGGCUGGAGUGCAGAAGAGGAAAGUGGAAUUCCACGUGUAGCGGUGAAAUGCGUAGAGAUGUGGAGGAACACCAGUGGCGAAGGCGACUUUCUGGGCUGUAACUGACGCUGAGGCGCGAAAGCGUGGGGAGCAAAC